UACAGAGGUCUCAAGCGUUGUUCGGAUUCAUUGGGCGUAAAGGGUGCGUAGGCGGCGCGGUAAGUCGGGUGUGAAAUCUCGGGGCUUAACUCCGAAACUGCAUUCGAUACUGCCGUGCUUGAGGACUGGAGAGGAGACUGGAAUUUACGGUGUAGCGGUGAAAUGCGUAGAUAUCGUAAGGAAGACCAGUGGCGAAGGCGGAUCUCUGGGCCUGUUCUGACGCUGAGGCGCGAAAGCUAGGGGAGCGAACAGG
rnacentral:rRNA from 1 species